UACGUAGGGCGCAAGCGUUGUCCGGAAUUAUUGGGCGUAAAGAGCUCGUAGGCGGUUUGUCGCGUCUGCUGUGAAAACCUAAGGCUCAACCUUGGGCUUGCAGUGGGUACGGGCAGACUAGAGUGCGGUAGGGGUGACUAGAAUUCCUGGUGUAGCGGUGGAAUGCGCAGAUAUCAGGAGGAACACCGAUGGCGAAGGCAGGUCACUGGGCCGCAACUGACGCUGAGGAGCGAAAGCAUGGGGAGCGAACAGG
rnacentral:rRNA from 1 species